UGAGUACAAGAUGCUACGGCAUUGAAGCAGUCUAUGUCAUACUUCCAAGAAAAGCUUGCAAUGUCAUAAACAAAUAAUGCCUGUACCAUAACCGACACAGGUGGGUAGGUAGAGUAUACUAAGGGGCGCGAGAUAACUCUCUCUAAGGAACUCGGCAAAAUGACUCCGUAACUUCGGGAGAAGGAGUACCUUAUUUUAUAAGGUUGCAAUAACAAGGUCCAAGCAACUGUUUACCAAAAACACAGGUCUCCGCUAAGUCGUAAGACGAUGUAUGGGGGCUGACGCCUGCCCAGUGCCAGAAGGUUAAAGAAGUUGGUUAGCAUUAGCGAAGCUGAUAACUGAAGCCCUGGUGAACGGCGGCCGUAACAAUAACGGUCCUAAGGUAGCGAAAUUCCUUGUCGGGUAAGUUCCGACCCGCACGAAAGGCGUAAUGAUUUGGAUACUGUCUCGGAGAGGGGCUCGGUGAAAUAGACUUGUCUGUGAAGAUGCGGACUACCUGCACCUGGAUAGAAAGACCCUAUGAAGCUUUACUGUAACUUGAGAUUGAAAUUGGACUCUAUUUGCGCAGUAUAGGUGGGAGACCUCGAAAGUAUUCUUGCGGGAAUAUUGGAGUCAUCAGUGAGAUACCACUCUUAUAAUGUUAGAUUUCUAACUUUGUAUCAUUAUCUGGUCAAAGAACAGUUUCAGGCGGGCAGUUUGACUGGGGCGGUCGCCUCCCAAAUGGUAACGGAGGCGCACAAAGGUUUCCUCUGAACGUGUAGAAAUCGUAUCUAGAGUGUAAAGGCAUAAGGAAGCUUGACUGUGAGACCUACAAGUCGAGCAGGGACGAAAGUCGGUCUUAGUGAUCUGACGGUGCUGAGUGGAAAGGCCGUCACUCAACGGAUAAAAGUUACUCUAGGAUAACAGGCUGAUCUCCCCCAAGAGUUCACAUCGACGGGGAGGUUUGGCACCUCGAUGUCGGCUCAUCGCAUCCUGGGGCGGUAGUACGUCCCAAGGGUUGGGCUGUUCGCCCAUGAAAGCGGUACGCGAGCUGGGUUCAGAACGUCGUGAGACAGUUCGGUCCAUAUCCGGUGUAGGCGUUAGAAUAUUGAGAGGAGCCUUCUUUAGUACGAGAGGACCGAGAAGGACAUACCUCUGGUGUACCAGUUAUCGUGCCGACGGUAAACGCUGGGUAGCUAUGUAUGGAGAGGAUAACCGCUGAAAGCAUCUAAGUGGGAAGCCCACCUCAAGAUAAGUAUUCUU
rnacentral:rRNA from 1 species